AGCGGGUGCCCAACCGGCAUUAUCGCGCGAUUUUUAUGUGUAUCUAUCAUUUUUCUCAUUCUAACAUUCAAAAAAAUUUUCAUUCUGUCUUGCUCUUCUGGGUGUUGGUCAGUUUUUGCUCGCAACUUGGCUGUGUCACACCAACCAUCCUCAUGUUUCAUAUGGUUCUUCUCUUUCCAUCGUUAGAGAGAAACUCUUGCGUCUCGCUUUUCUGGGACUUGUCCAAUUUCGCUUGCUACACCAAGCGUUCACGCAAGCGAUCUUCUCUCGUCCGCUCUUUGUAUCAUCUUGCAGGUACUCCCCGAUAUACGCUAUUAAUGCGGACCGGAGGCAAUAGCGUAUCUCGAAUAUUAGCAAAUGUCGAGUUUUCAGUCAAAUUAUAGCUAAUUUUCGUAUAAUUUUGCUUGAAGUGGUAGGAUUUACCACUUAAUUAGUUAUUUGAUCUGAUUCAACUGAAGAUUACAAUUGUACACCUUUUGAAAUGGCUUUUAAUAUUCGAUCAAAAGGGAAUUUAUUUUGAAUUUGAUAUUCGAUGUGUCAAAUUAGUACAAUUUGCUCAAAGAACUUUCAAAUUUAGAAAAAAAGCUUAUAGCGAAAUCGCGUAUAUCGAGUAUGGCGUAUAUCGGGGAAUACCUGUAUAGCCACCAGAGGAAGGCGCUGCUUCGCGUUCACAUGAAAAUGUGGUAGUGUGAAAUCAAGUUUGCAAGCGGUAGGCUACGUCGAUGCGUGCCCGUUUUUUUCUCUCGUGAAACCAGUACGGAAAAACUAUUUGGUAAGUACAGCUUUUAAUAAAGGAUUAUAUCAAUCUGUAUCAAACUGAAUGGUAUUAAUAAUUGGUGAUAUCAAAUCAAUUUCGUUUUCUAUAGCAAAUCGUAACACACGCACAAACUGAAGUGAGCACGGACCACGAUAGAAAUAAUUAAUUGGUUGGUAAGUAUCAUGCUUCGCGUUAAAUGGAACAGCGGUUUUCAAAAUAGAUAAUAUUUCCCUCUUUCACCAGCAGUGCCAAAAACAAAAGGACAGGAGAGGCAGGAACGAUCAUUCAACGCGUUAGCGCCGGACGAAGGAGAAGCGGCAGGAAGGCAGGAACGAUCCUCCAACGUGCUCGCGCUCCAACGUGCUCGCGAAGGCAGGAACGCGCCUGGUAGAGGAGAGGCGGCAGGAAGGUAGGGACGAUCAUCCAGCACGCUAGCGCAGCACCUGGGAACAGCGAGGGGGAGGCAAGCAGGAAUAAUUUUUAACGCGUACACACCAUUCGACGAAGACAACGCUGGAUGAAAGGAAGAACGAGGAGAGAAGGCAGGCAAGACGGGUACGUGUGUAUCCCGCAACGAGUUUUCGGCAGUGUGAAAUGUGAGUAUUGAAAAGUAUAUGUGUGAGUAGAGGUAAAGAGGUAAAAUAAAGAGCGAAUGUGUGGAAUGGGAAAAUGAAAGAGAGUCUGUGUUUGUUUUGGGAGAGAGGAGAGAAUGAAAGAAAUUGAACAAUAAUGUAGCAUACAGAAACCACAUGUAUGAUACACGCUGUCGCACGAUUUCAAAAACCUUCUCUAUAUCCCAACCAGCAUUAUCGCGCGAUUUUUAUGUGUAUCUAUCAUUUUUCUCAUUCUAACAUUCACAAAAUUUUUCAUUCUGCCUCGCUCUUCUGGGUGUUGGUCUGUAUUCCCAACCAGCAUUAUCGCGCGAUUUUUAUGUGUAUCUAUCAUUUUUCUCAUUCUAACAUUCACAAAAUUUUUCAUUCUGCCUCGCUCUUCUGGGUGUUGGUCUGUAUUUGCUUGCGACUUGGCUGUGUCGCAUCAACGAUUCGCAUGUUUCAUUUAGCUCAUCCCUUUCCAUCGUUGGAGAGAAACUCUUGCGUCUCGCUUUUCUGGGACUUGUCCAAAUUCGCUUGCUACACCAAUCGUUCACGCAAGCGUUCUCCUCUCGCCCGCUCUUUGUAUCAUUGUACAGGUACUCCCCGAUAUACGCUAUCAAUGCGGACCGGAGGCAAUAGCGUAUCUCGAAUAUUCAAUAGCGAAAGUCGAAUUUCGAGGUUUUCAGUCAAGUUAUAACUAAUAUCCGUAGAACUUUGCAUGAAGUGGUAGGUUUUAGCCACUAAACCUACCACUACCGAAUGGUUAAAAACCAUUUCAAAUGGUAUAAAAUUGAAAAAUUCAGUUGAAAUUAGAUCAAAUAACUAAUACGCUUACGUAAAUUUGACGGUUCUUUGAACAAGUAGUACUAAUUUUAGAAAUCGAAUGUCAAAUGCAAAAUAAAUUCCCUUUUGGUUGAAUAUUAAAAACCAUUUCAAAUGGUAUAAAAUUGAAAAAUUCAGUUGAAAUUAGAUCAAAUAACUAAAUCAACUAACUAACCAAAUAGUUAUUUGAUCUAAUUUCAACUGAAUUUUUCAAUUUUAUACCAUUUGAAAUGGUUUUUAAUAUUCAACCAAAAGGGAAUUUAUUUUGCAUUUGACAUUCGAUUUCUAAAAUUAGUACUACUUGUUCAAAGAACCGUCAAAUUUAGAAAAAAAGCGUAUAGCGAAAUCGUGUAUAUCGAGUAUGGCGUAUAUCGGGGAAUACCUGUAUAGCCACACGAGGAAGGCGCUGCUUCGCGUUCACAUGAAAAUGUGGUAGUGUGAAAUCAAGUUUGCAAGCGGUAGGACGCGUCGGUGUGUGUUCGUUUUUUCUCUCGUGAAACCAGUACGGAAAAACUAUUUGGUAAGUACAGUUUUUAAUAAAGGGUUAUUUCAAUCUUUAUCAAACUGAAUUGUAUUGAUAAUUGUGAUAUAAAAUUAAUUUCGUUUUUUAAAGAAAUCGUAACACACGCACGAACGGAAGUGAGCACGGACCACAACAGAAGCAAUAUUCAAUUGGUUGGAGUGCCGAAAACAGAACAGGAGAGGAAAGAAGGCAGGAACGAUUCGAUCCUCCAACGUGCUAGCGCCUGGUAGAGGAGAAGCGGCAGGAAGGUAGAGACGAACAUCCAGCUCGCUAGUGCAGCGCGUGGGAGCAGCAAGAGGGAAGCAAGCAGGACGCGUACACACCAUUCGACGAAGGCAAAGCUGGAGGAAAGGAAGAACGAGGAGAGAAGGCAGGCAAGACGGGUACGUGUGUAUCCCGCACCGGUUUUAGGCAGUGUGAAUUGUGUGAGUAUGUAAAUAUGUAUGUGCGAGUAAGAAGGUAAAAUAAAGAGCGUAAGCAUGUGCAGAAUGGACAAAAGAGAGUAAGAGUCUUUGUAGGGAGAAUGGAGAGAAUGAAAGAAAUUGAACAAUAAUGUAGCAUACAGAAACUAGAUGUAUGAUACACGCUGUCGCACCGUUGCAGAGACGUGCUCUUUAGUGCUGCUAAUGAGCACGAUUUGAGAACGUUUUGAGCCCGUUUUUUCUCAUACAAAAUUUUAAAAUGUCGCGCGAUAAUGUCGGUUGGGUAGUUCUGCUAUCGAGAACGAUUUGACCGCGCUAUAGAGAACACUUUUUCUAUACAAAAAAAACCGCUUGCAACGUGACAAUGUUGGUUGGGUGAGAGGAGAACGCUUGCGUGAACGAUUGGUGUAGCAAGCGAAAUUGAAUAAGUCCCAGAAAAGCGAGACGCAAGAGUUUCUCUCCAACGAUGGAAAGGGAUGAGCUAAAUGAAACAUGCGAAUCGUUGAUGCGACACAGCCAAGUCGCAAGCAAAUACAGACCAACACCCAGAAGAGCGAGGCAGAAUGAAAAAUUUUGUGAAUGUUAGAAUGAGAAAAAUGAUAGAUACACAUAAAAAUCGCGCGAUAAUGCCGGUUGGGUGAUGAACGCACCAUCCCCCAGGACAAUCGCAUGGCAAUCGGAUUGAACGCGCAACAUUUUCCAUACAAUCCGCAGUGUUGCGUUUUCUUCGCGCAAACUUUGCCUGUAUUUUCAAUGAGCCAAGCGAUUUUACCCCCUCCUACACGCGAUGUAUCCUAAAGCACGCUUGUCGCGGCAACGUUCACCACAUACACACACACAUCUCCACACUCAGGGUACGACAUCUUCCCUGUUGCUGUUCUGGACUCAGACAAAAUUUGUGUUUCUACACUUAUUGUUCAAAAAAGUAGUAGCUCCUAGGAUCUGAAUUUACAAACAAAUAUCAAAAUAUUAUGUUCUGCUAAUGAUAUUGCACUAAAUUUAAUUGCACUACAUUAAGUUUUUACAUAUCUUUCGUAAAAGUUCGUCAGAGUAUGAAAAUGUCGAUACAAUUUGUCAUGAAUAACUUAAAUUUUAAGAUUUUCGCGCAUAAAAUUAUGACGCGCGCUGUGUGUGCGGCGGCGUAAUUCGCUACUCGUAUAGCCGUCUCGCUUCUUCUUGUGUGUGCUUUACCGUUGCUCACCGCUUCAAGAACAUUGCUGCUCACACACACGUCAGUCUGUGGUAAACAAUUGGAGGGGGAGGAUGUGUCGGUUUGCUCCAGAAAUCGUGUGUGAUUUUGGUGUUCUGGAUUUGGUUCCAUCCCUGUUUGUUUUGGUGAAAUUGAAAAGGUAAGACUCAUAGACCGAUGUAAAAGUGUGAGAGUAAAGUGAUGUUGAUGGUGACUGAUUAUUUUCUUUGUUUCUUUUCCUGCUUUCAUCCACUGAUGGUGUCGAGCAUCGCCGAGGAUGUGAUCGAAUGCGGAAUAUUCGAAACGAGGAGAUUCAUUCCGGAUUUUGUUUGCAAUAAGGUAAGUUAUGAAAACACACAAAGCAUACGAAAAAAGAGUGAGUAAUCUUAUUCUUAACUUUCAUUUCUUCAACAGCGCUGAACUAAUCCUCCAGCUUACAGGACGGCAAAGGUACACGCACAAACGUGCACACAUCAGCCUUCUCGGAGAACGAGAACACGGGAGGGGGAGACCGGCAACGUAUAGAACCUUUACGCUCCCUCGUGCGUUCGUGCGUGCGUGCGCGCGCGCGUCUAUGUGUGUGUAUGUGUGUGCAUGCCUGCGUGCGUGGCUGUGUGUGUUUUUGCCGCUUCGCAUAACGAGAUCCUACGGGAUCACCUUGCGAAAAACA